CUGGCGGAGGUCGUGAAGCUCUUUGGCCCCCGGCUCGUGGACCUGCACAAGUACGUCCCCACCUGCAACACCGGCCAGAAGCGCAGCAACUGGAGCGUUCUCAACAAGCGGGGCUCCGAGCGGGGCUUUCCGCCCCGCCUUCCCUGCUGGGCCCGCUCCUCGCUCCCCAAGGCGGGCCUGCAUGGGCGGCCCCCACCCUGGGGACAGGUUCUCAGGCUGUGUCCCUGCCGUGGGCUUCCCUGAUACUCUGUCCAGUUCCACUUGAGGCUCCUGGGGGCUCCCCACCAAGAGGCCAGCAACAGUCACCGUGAGACACACUCUGCAGGGCAUUAUCCUGCUCACUCACCUCGCCUCUCAUGCACUCACCCGCCAAAAAUUCUGGGUGACAGGCUGCUCAGGCCCAGCGAGUCAGAGGGAAGACGGAUAAGUGAGGAGAUGGGGCCAGCGUCAGUUGUGACAAGUCACGUGAGGACACUGAGGCAGGAGCACAGGAAGUGACAGGGAGCAGCCUGAGGGCGGCCACCUGGGUCUUUGCGAGGCUGCAGUGGGGAGGGCAUGCGGAGCCACCAAGGGCCCUUGGAGGACACUGCCCGAGGGCACAGUGCCUUAGCCGGCUUGAGGCCUGGCAGGUUCUGGUGGGACUUACUCGGAGGGGAGAGAGACUGGGGGAGUUGGAGGUGGGGUGGGCGGCUGCCCCCACCCCCAAAGCCUGGAGAGGUGGCAGCUGCAGGCAGACCUGUGAGAAGUCAGGCUCUGAGCGCUUGGGAGGUGAGCCGAGGCGCCUCAGGAGGAUGAGCGCUGCCUAGGGAGGUGGCGGCGGGCCGGGGACUCAGCUGGCCUGAAGGCACAGCACUCUGUGCCCCGUGAGCCCCGGGUGGCGACCGGGAACGAGAUGGCCCCAGGCCCCUGUGGGUGCGGGGGCCGGAAGGCACCCCAGUCCAGCCGCUCCGCACGAGGUGGGCGUCCCCACCUGGCCUCUGGUCUCAGGGCUGCACCUGCUGCCUCUGCAGGAAAGUCUUCCACAAGUUGGGUCUCAGUGUCUCAGGAAGAGAUCCGAAAGGUGAUCGUCAACACCCCUGGGGCCAUCGAGCCCAUCCUGUGUGCAGUGAGGGACAAGGUGGAGGCCGCGAGGACCCGCCCGGCAUGGCUGGACACGUGGGUACCAUCACGUGGCCAUGGCCUCUGCUGUGUUGGGACACGGGCUCGUUGCCUGCCGAUGAGAGUAAAACCAGGAACCGGGGAGCCCUGGCAGCACCUGGACCCUGGGCUGCCGCAGCGGCUGCUGGAGGAGAAGGAGCGGGUGCUGGCAGUCCUGCGGGGGACCGUCAAGGUUCUGCAGAUGAAGGUGGCCAGGCUGGAGCACCCGGUGAAACUAAAGGACCAGCGGGUCAGAGCGCUCACGCGACGGGGGGACCAGCCCCAGGGAGGGGGCACCCGGGGCCAGAAGGGCCCCCUCCCCUGUCCACCAGACUCCGACCUCGAGCCCACUUGGAAAUCCCCUAGACUGGGUGUUUCUGGGUGUGGCAACGCACUGUCCAUCAGACGUGGAGCAACCGAGGAGGACCCGAGCCAGCGUGUCCACAAGCAGAGGCCUGGCCCCUCCUGACUGCACAUCCCGGGUGCCCAGCCGAUGUGGCCUGAGGUUCCCCUGCUGCCCCCCACCCCCCCGCCUCCUCCCCAC
ensembl:lncRNA